GACAAACAAGGCCAAAUUAAGACAAGUACAGUAAAAAAGGGGGUUAGGGAAUUAAUGGUAAAUACAUGUUACCAACUUUAUAAAAAAGAUUAUGUCUUCUGUAGAGGUGGAAUUUGUGCAGAAUAAACAACCUCUUACUUUUUUUUAUCCUGAGGCCCCGAAAUCUUAAUUAAAAACCGGGAUUAGAUACCCCGUUAUUUAAGGUGUAAAUUUUAAUUUCAAAAUAUUUACUUGAGUAUUACGAGUUCUAUAACUUAAUGUAGAGAUAACUUAAAACUCAAAAAACUUGGCGGUGCCUUAAAUCCUUUCAGGGGAACCUGUCCUAUAAUCGAUAGUCCACGAUUCACCUUUCCUUUUUUUGAAUAACUCAGUCUGUAUACCGUCGUCGCCAGAUUACCUCUAAGAGUAAAGAAGUUAUCUAAAGGAAAAUCAUAAAGAUAGGACCCAAUUUUACAUCAUAAAAAUCAACUAGUUUUAUGUUUUCUGAACGUCAGAUCAAGGUGCAGCUUAUAAAAAGGAAGAGAUGGGUUACAAUAAAUAAUUAUUAUUUACGGAUUUCUUUUUGUAAAAUAAAAGUUUAAAGGAGGACUUGAAAGUAAUUAACGAGAAGUAGAGAGUCUCGGUGAAAAUGGCCCUAAGGCGUGC
rnacentral:rRNA from 1 species